AACGUCUGGUGCAGAAUGGAGCGUCGGCUGUGAUCCUGGACCUGCCCUCCUCUGAUGGAGCGGCUCUGGCUGAGAAACUGGGGGAGCGCUGUGCCUUCGCUCCUGCAGACGUGACAUCAGAGGCAGACGUGCAGUCGGCGGUGUCCCUGGCCA